rnacentral:lncRNA from 1 species
AUCUUUUUUUACCUGAAAUUCCAAAUAAAAAAGUUACUUAAGAUUUCCUUAAUUAUUAAAUUUUUUUAGUAUCAGCAUUGUUCUCCCAAAUGAAAAUGGGUUUGUUGGAGUUUUCGGUGAGACUUGGAACUUUAGGUUUUAGAUGUUUUAACAAUUUUGGAAUGGCUUGAGAGUUGGAAUUCAUUAUUUUUUCAAUAUGUUUAGAGCAAAAUCGAGAAUUAUAUCAUGGUUUCCAAAGAAUUAAUUUCAUUUUUAGGACUCAUUGCCUUCAAAGGAAUUUGUCCCUUGGAAAUGAAAAGUGUCAUCCCCUCAGCUCAAGAACGAUUCUUGUAAUUCACGGCGCACGACAAGAGGACAUACUUGGGGUAUUUUAACAAAAUAUAUCGCCUUUGUAGAGUUCUUCACCUAAAAUAUAGUAUUAAAUUUUGAAUGUCUUGGGCCGUAACUCAAAAACAUGAGGAAGUCAGCUAUCGUCAAACCGGAUAACCCGGUGACGUAACUCUACUUAUAGGGCUAUGUGUUUUGUAAAGCGUUAAUUAGUCUUUUGGUAUUUGAUUUUUAACCAUAAAUACCAUAAGAAAUACACAUUACUAUGAGGUCAAGAUACUUAGAGACAAGGUAGUUCAGAGAUGCUAUUUUCAUGAAGAUUUUAUUGAUACACACGCCCAAUUCUGUGACGUCAUAUAGAUAAAAUAUCUAAAUAUUAUAAACAUAAACAAUCAUCUUUACUUAUAUAAUUUAUCGUGGCAAAUUUCACUCUUGAUUAUAAUAUUAAAUAUACGAACAUAAUAAAUAGUAAAGUAUACACUGUGAUAAUGAGUUCCUCAGACUUGUCAAAAAAUAUCCUGGAGACUGAAGAUAUAAUUCAUGAUUCUAAAUCUGAUCCAUUUACAGAAAGACUUGAAUACUCGACCAAAUCUUUUGCCAUCUUUAAUUGCCCAAAUCCAAUUGAUACUUCCUACCAUUUAUUCUCAUCCAAUCAUCACCUUAGACAGACUUGGAUUGGUUUGUGCGAAUUGAAAAAGUCGUUUAAACCAAAGACAUCAAGAAUUUGUGGCAAGCAUUUUAUUAAUGAUAAUUUUACUUAUUCAAGUUUGAGAGAGAAAUUGACUUCACAAAAAUCAUUGAAAAGGAGGCUAAAACCUGAUGCUGUACCAUCAAUUAAUUUUGUUAAAAAAUCUAUUAAAAGUGAUCCAUUUGAAUUUGUUGAAGACUCUGUGCAAUAUUCCUAUACCAAAUCGUCCACUGUGGAAGAAUCAAUUAAUAUCAAAGAGAUGGAAUUUUAUCCAAACCUAGAAUUCAUGGAAGAACCGGAGCCAAUCAUAAAGUUAAUUGAUGACCCAAUGGAGAAAAAAAAAUAUUGAAUUUACAAUUGAGAAAUCUAUUUGUUUAUCAAGGACUACUUCUCAAAAAAAGAAUUGUGAAAAUUAUGAAUACCGGAUGGAAAUUCUAAGAUACAAAGUAAAACUUUGAAAUCUUCAAAGAAUUUUGAUGCGGGAGAAGAGAGGAAAAAAAAUUAAUAAAAACAAAUUGAUAAAAGAUUUCGUUUUGGAGAAAGGCCAUAGUAGAUCUCAAGUUAAUUUCUUGAUGGGGAAGACAAAUCGCUCAGGAAAUUUUUCUCAAGAUGAAAUCAUUGACAGCCUUCUACUUAGAACGAUUUCUCUGAGGGCUAAUAAGUUUCUGCGAUAGAAAAAACUCAUGUGUCUCCCCACUCCCUCUACACUAUCGAAUUGGAUUAAAGAUUUUAAAGUAGAUAUUGGAUUCCUAUGGAACAGCCUUGAUGUAAUGAGAAAAAACUUUUCUGCGAAUAAAUGCAUGACUAAUUUCGAUUUAACAGUAUUAUCUUUUGACGAGGUUGAAAUUGUUGAAACAAUUGAAUAUAGUCAUUCUUUGGACCAAGCCAUUGGCCCAUUUAAGCAAAUGUAAGUGGUAUUCGCUCGUGGUCUUUUGCAUCAAUGGAAGCAAAAAUAAAUUUUAUUUUAAUGCAUAUCAGAAGUAGAAAAGCAGGGUGGAAAAGUAAUCCAGACAGUUAGUGACAUGGGUCCUUCAACCCAAAAGCUAUGGAAAGAAUUGGGAAUAUCAAAAGACAAACCUUUUUUAUUCAUCCAGAUGACUUCGAAAGAAGAAUAUUUUUGAUGGCUGAUCCACCGCAUCUAAUUAAACUUGUAAGGAAUAAUUUAUUAACAAGUGGAUUUGAUCUUCCAAAAGGUGGAACCCUAACGAAAGAACUUUUUAAACAUGUUUUAAAAGCUCAAUCACAAUGUGAUCUGACUCCAUUACAUUUCCUUUAGCCUAUACAUAUUUAUUGCAAAGGUCAUGAUCGUCAGCGGGUGUACUUGGCAACUCAAUUACUAAGUCAUGAAGUUUCCAGCUUCAUAAGACUUAAAUGGCCAUACCUUGAUGAACAACAAGUUUUUAUCAAUUUGAUGUCCAGUUGGUACAGUGUUUUCUCAUCGAGAAAAAAGUAUGAUACAGAAAUACUAAUGUGCGCUUAUGGUGGAUAUCAUUA